GGGGGGCAGGAAGGGCUCAGGG
rnacentral:miRNA from 12 species